rnacentral:rRNA from 1 species
GACGAACGCUGGCGGCGUGCUUAACACAUGCAAGUCGAACGGAAAGGCCCUGCUCGCACGGUUCUCGAGUGGCGAACGGGCGAGUAACUCGCGGGUGAUCUGCCUUGCACUUCGGGAUAAAUCACGGCAACUGGGUCUAAUACCGGCCAGGAGCUAUAUUGAGCGGGAUGGUUGGAUAGUUUUUUCGGUGUAGGCUGAGCUCGCGGCCUAUCAGCUUGUUGGGGCGGUAAUGGCCUACCAAGGCGGCGGCGGGUAGCCGGCCUGAGAGGGUGGACGGCCAUACAGAGACUGACGGACGGCCGAGGCACCUACGGGAGGCAGCAGGGGGGAAUCUUGACGGAGGGGCGCCGGGCGGAUGCAGCGACGCCGCGGGGGGGAUGACGGUCUUCGGGGUGAAGACUCAUUGCGCUAGUGACUAAGCUUGUUGUGACGGUACCUAGACAAGAAGCACCGGCUAACUACGUG